CUACGGGUCGCAGCAGCUGAGGAUCUUUUACAAUGCACGAAAGUGUGAUAGAGCGAGCCAGAGUGUUGUUCUUAGAACAACUUUUAUCUGCUGUAAAAAGGCAGAUGAAUAAGGACUGGGCAAGACCGGUGCCAGCCGCCGCGGUAAUACCGGCGGUCCAAGUUGCAUCCAUUUUUAUUGGGUCUAAAACAUCCGUAGCUUGCUUUGUAAGUUUCUUGUGAAAUCUCAUGUCUCAAACAUGAGGCUUGCAAGAAAUACUGCAUAGCUAGAGACCGGAAGACGUAAGGAGUAUGAUUGAGGUAGCGGUAAAAUGUGUUAAUCUUGAUCAGACUAACAACGGCGAAGGCACCUUACGAGUACGGAUCUGACAGUGAGGGAUGAAGGCCAGGGGCGCAAAACGGAUUAGAUACCCGAGUAGUC
rnacentral:rRNA from 1 species